AAGUGGACAGGGGCCAUGGAGAGGAACCUGGGAGCUGUGCUGGGGAUUCUGUGGGUGCAGAUUUGCUGGGUGAGAGGAAAUAAUGUGGAGCAGAGCCCAUCAUUCUUGAGUCUCCAUGAGGGAACCAAUUCUUCUCUGAGAUGCAAUUUUUCUAUUGCCAUGACAACUGUGCAGUGGUUCCGACAGGAUCCCAGGGGCAGCCUCAUCCAUCUGUUCUUCCUGGCUCCAGGAACAAAGGAGAACGGGAGGUUAAAGUCAACAUUCGAUGCUAAGGAGCGCUACAGCACCCUGCACAUCAGUGGUGCCCAGCUGGAGGACUCAGGCACCUACCUCUGUGCUGCUGAGACACGGUGCUCCCAGUGA